UACGUAGGUGGCAAGCGUUGUCCGGAUUUACUGGGCGUAACGAGCGCGCAGGCGGUCGGCUAAGUCGAAUGUGAAAGCCCCCGGCUCAACUGGGGAGGGUCAUUCGAUACUGUUCGACUCGAAGGCAGGAGAGGGAAGUGGAAUUCCCGGUGUAGUGGUGAAAUGCGUAGAUAUCGGGAGGAACACCAGUGGCGAAGGCGACUUCCUGGCCUGUUCUUGACGCUGAGGCGCGAAAGCUAGGGGAGCAAACGGG
rnacentral:rRNA from 1 species